rnacentral:rRNA from 1 species
UACGUAGGGUGCGAGCGUUAAUCGGAAUUACUGGGCGUAAAGCGUGCGCAGGCGGCGCGUUAAGACAGGUGUGAAAGCCCCGAGCUUAACUUGGGAAUUGCGCUUGUGACUGGCGUGCUGGAGUGUGGCAGAGGGAGGUGGAAUUCCACGUGUAGCAGUGAAAUGCGUAGAGAUGUGGAGGAACACCGAUGGCGAAGGCAGCCUCCUGGGCCAGCACUGACGCUCAUGCACGAAAGCGUGGGAAGCAAACAGG